rnacentral:ncRNA from 30 species
UAGUAUUGAGGAUAGAAAAGGCAGCUAUCACCCUCGUUAGGAGAUGUGGAAAAUGUCGCUCCACCUUUACUA